GUCUUCGUGGCUCAGUAGGUUAGAGCGUUGGUCUCAUACAUUUCCAUGAUUCAACCUGUAGGUUGGGAUAUCCAAAGGUCGUGAGUUCGAACCUCACCGAGGACA